GAUGAACGCUGGCGGCGUGCCUAAUACAUGCAAGUCGAGCGAACGGACGAGAAGCUUGCUUCUCUGAUGUUAGCGGCGGACGGGUGAGUAAGACGUGGAUAACCUACCUAUAAGACUGGGAUAACUUCGGGAAACCGGAUCUAAUACCGGAUAAUAUUAUGAACCGGAUGGUUCAAAAGUGAAAGACGGUCUUGCUGUCACUUAUAGAUGGAUCCGGGUUGCAUUAGCUAGUUGGUAAGGUAACGGCUUACCAAGGCAACGAUGCAUAGCCGACCUGAGAGGAUGAUCGGCCACACUGGAACUGAGACACGGUCCAGACUCCUACGGGAGGCAGCAGUAGGGAAUAUUCCGCAAUGGGCGAAAGCCUGACGCAGCCACGCCGCGUGAGUGAUGAAGGUCUUCGGAUCGUAAAGCUCUGUUAUUAGGGAAGAACAUAUGUGUAAGUAACUGUGCACAUCUUGACGGUACCUAAUCAGAAAGCCACGGCUAACUACGUG
rnacentral:rRNA from 1 species